rnacentral:rRNA from 1 species
GAUGAACGCUGGCGUCGUGCCUAAUACAUGCAAGUCGAGCGAACAGACGAGGAGCUUGCUCCUCUGACGUUAGCGGCGGACGGGUGAGUAACACGUGGAUAACCUACCUAUAAGACUGGGAUAACUUCGGGAAACCGGAGCUAAUACCGGAUAAUAUAUUGAACCGCAUGGUUCAAUAGUGAAAGACGGUUUUGCUGUCACUUAUAGAUGGAUCCGCGCCGCAUUAGCUAGUUGGUAAGGUAACGGCUUACCAAGGCAACGAUGCGUAGCCGACCUGAGAGGGUGAUCGGCCACACUGGAACUGAGACACGGUCCAGACUCCUACGGGAGGCAGCAGUAGGGAAUCCUCCGCAAUGGGCGAAAGCCUGACGGAGCAACGCCGCGUGAGUGAUGAAGGUCUUCGGAUCGUAAAACUCUGUUAUUAGGGAAGAACAAAUGUGUAAGUACCUAUGCACGUCUUGACGGUACCUAAUCAGAAAGCCACGGCUAACUACGUG